UUUUAAGAUGAGGUUUCAUUUGAGGUGCCCAGUAGACGACUGGGUUGAUAGGCCGGAACUGGAAGCACAGUAAUGUGUGGAGGUGACUGGUACUAAUCCACCAAAUACCAAACAACAAACC
rnacentral:rRNA from 1 species